AGAAUCAUGAACGUUUUAGAGAU
rnacentral:snRNA from 1 species